rnacentral:rRNA from 1 species
ACCUGAGGGUGAAAGCGGGGGAUCGCAAGACCUCGCGCUGGAAGAGCGGCCGAUGUCCGAUUAGCUAGUUGGUGAGGUAAAGGCUCACCAAGGCGACGAUCGGUAGCUGGUCUGAGAGGACGACCAGCCACACUGGGACUGAGACACGGCCCAGACUCCUACGGGAGGCAGCAGUGGGGAAUUUUGGACAAUGGGGGCAACCCUGAUCCAGCCAUGCCGCGUGCAGGAUGAAGGUCUUCGGAUUGUAAACUGCUUUUGUCAGGGACGAAAAGGGAUGCGAUAACACCGCAUUCCGCUGACGGUACCUGAAGAAUAAGCACCGGCUAACUACGUGCCAGCAGCCGCGGUAAUACGUAGGGUGCAAGCGUUAAUCGGAAUUACUGGGCGUAAAGCGUGCGCAGGCGGUUCUGUAAGAUAGAUGUGAAAUCCCCGGGCUCAACCUGGGAAUUGCAUAUAUGACUGCAGGACUUGAGUUUGUCAGAGGAGGGUGGAGUUCCACGUGUAGCAGUGAAAUGCGUAGAUAUGUGGAAGAACACCGAUGGCGAAGGCAGCCCUCUGGGACAUGACUGACGCUCAUGCACGAAAGCGUGGGGAGCAAACAGGAUUAGCUACCCUGGUAGUCCACGCCCUA